GAGAGUGUGGUGUAGUGGUUUGAGUGCUGGACUAUGACACUGGACACCAGGGUUUGAAUCCCUGCUCAGCCA